CCCUUAGAUGUUCUGGGCCGCACGCGCGCUACACUGAUGCAUUCAACGAGUCUAAAACCUGGUCUGAGAGGGCUGGGUAAUCUUUUGAAAGUGCAUCGUGAUUGGGAUAGAUGAUUGCAAUUCUUCAUCUUCAACGAGGAAUGCCUAGUAAACGCAAGUCAUCAGCUUGCAUUGAUUACGUCCCUGCCCUUUGUACACACCGCCCGUCGCUCCUACCGAUUGAACGAUCCGAUGAAAACUGUGGAUUGAGAGUCUGAGUGUGUUCGCCUACCUCAACUUUCGAGAAGCGGUUUAAAUCUUAUCGUUUAGAGGAAGGAGAAGUCGUAACA
rnacentral:rRNA from 1 species